AUUGAACGCUGGCGGCAGGCCUAACACAUGCAAGUCGAGCGGAGCGGCGGAAGGGUGAGUAAUGCCUAGGAAUCUGCCUGGUAGUGGGGGAUAACGUCCGGAAACGGGCGCUAAUACUGCAGACUUUCAGAUGAGCCUAGGUGGGAUUAGCUAGUUGGUGGGGUAAAGGCCAACAAAGGCGACGAUCCGUAACUGGCCGGAGAGGAUGAUCAGUCAACCUGGAACGGAGACACGGUCCAGACUCCUACGGAAGGCAGCAGUGGGGAAUAUUGGACAAGGGGCGAAAGCCUGACCCGGCCAUGCCGCUGGUUGGAAGAAGGUCUCCGGAUUGUAAAGUACUUUCAGUUGGGAGGCGGUACCAUCAGAAUAAGCACCGGCUAACUUCGUGCCAGCAGCCGCGGUAAUUC
rnacentral:rRNA from 1 species